rfam:Kosmotoga pacifica strain SLHLJ1, complete genome.
GGGGUCGUAGCGCAGCUGGGAGCGCGUCACAAUGGCAUUGUGAAGGCCGAGGGUUCGAAUCCCUUCGACUCCA